rnacentral:rRNA from 1 species
UGAGGAAUAUUGGUCAAUGGGGGCAACCCUGAACCAGCCAAGUCGCGUGAAGGAUGAAGGUCUUAUGGAUUGUAAACUUCUUUUACACGGGAAUAAAGUGGGGGACGUGUCCCCCUUUGCAUGUACCGUGUGAAUAAGGAUCGGCUAACUCCGUGCCAGCAGCCGCGGUAAUACGGAGGAUCCGAGCGUUAUCCGGAUUUAUUGGGUUUAAAGGGUGCGCAGGCGGGAUGUUAAGUCGGCGGUGAAAUUUUGCAGCUCAACUGUAAAAGUGCCUUCGAUACUGGCCUCCUUGAGUGUGGAUGAAGUAGGCGGAAUUUGCGGUGUAGCGGUGAAAUGCUUAGAUAUCACGAAGAACUCCGAUUGCGCAGGCAGCUUACUAAGCCACAACUGACGCUCAGGCACGAAGGCGUGGGGAUCAAACA